ACUCAAAUGAAUAGACGGGGGCCCGCACAAGCGGUGGAUCAUGUGGUUUAAUUCGAAGCAACGCGCAAAACCUUACCUGGGUUUGACAUCCUCGGACCGCUGUAGAAAUACAGUUUUUGUAGCAAUACAACCGAGAGACAGGUGCUGCAUGGCUGUCGUCAGCUCGUGUGGUGACAUGUUGGGUUAAGUCCCGCAACGAGCGCAACCCUUGUCUUUAGUUGCCAGCAUUAAGUUGGGCACUCUAGAGAGACUGCCGUGGUUAACACGGAGGAAGGUGGGGAUGACGUCAAGUCCUCAUGGCCUUUAUAUCCAGGGCGACACACGUGAUACAAUGGAUGGCACAAAGGGAAGCGAACCUGCGAGGGGGAGCUAAUCUCAAAAAGCCAUUCUCAGUUCGGAUUGGAGUCUGCAACUCGACUCCAUGAAGUUGGAAUCGCUAGUAAUCGCGGAUCAGCACGCCGCGGUGAAUACGUUCCCGGGCCUUGCACACACCGCCCGU
rnacentral:rRNA from 1 species